AGCCUGCAACCCGGCUGCACGAGGCCGGAAUCGCUAGUAACCGCAGAUCAGAAUGCUGCGGUGAAUACGUUCCCGGGUCUUGUACACACCGCCCGUCACACCACGGGAGUCGGAAAUGCCCGAAGUCAGCGGCCCAACUGCAAGGAGGGAGCUGCCGAAGGCAGGUCCGGUGACUGGGGUGAAGUCGUAACAAGGUAAC
rnacentral:rRNA from 1 species